rnacentral:tRNA from 1 species
GGGGCGGUAGCUCAGUCGGUUAGAGCGGACUCAUAAUCCGCUGGUCGUGGGUUCGAGCCCCACCCGCCCCA